rnacentral:rRNA from 1 species
CCUACGGGAGGCAGCAGUGGGGAAUAUUGCACAAUGGGGGAAACCCUGAUGCAGCGACGCCGCGUGAGUGAAGAAGUAACUCGUUAUGUAAAGCUCUAUCAGCAGGGAAGAAAAUGACGGUACCUGAGUCAGAAGCCCCGGCUAACUACGUGCCAGCAGCCGCGGUAAUACGGAGGGGGCAAGCGUUAUCCGGAUUUACUGGGUGUAAAGGGAGCGUAGACGGUGCGCCAAGUCUGGAGUGAAAUGCCGCAGCUUAACUGCGGAACUGCUUUGGAAACUGGCGAACUAGAGUGCGGGAGGGGUAAGCGGAAUGCGUGGUGUAGCGGUGAAAUGCGUAGAUAUUAGGAAGAACACCGGUGGCGAAGGCGGCUUACUGGAGCGUAACUGACGUUGAGGCACGAAAGCGUGGGGAGCGAACAGGAUUAGAUACCCCUGUAGUC